AAAACAAGUAAACUCUCAAAUCAAUACUUUGAACUGUUGAUUACAACUGAGACAAAUUACCAUCCUGAUAGUUGAGAUUUACUGAAUCUAUAUUAGCCUUGUCAUACAAAUGUGGCUAUUGAUUGCUGAAGAACCAAAAAAAAAUCAACUUGUGUUGGCAUGUAUUACAAUCUCACACAAUGUAAGAUAAAAUUGAACCUUGAUUGUGUACUACAUCUCUUCAGUGGUAUAAUGCAAGAGAAACAAUGACUCCUCUACUGAAAUGACGCGACCAAAUCUUUGAAGUGAGUGAGGAGGCCGUCAACUGUCAUGACUUCAUGAUCAGACUUGCUUCUCACUCGAACGCUCACCUGCCCACUACUGGCUUCAGCUUCUCCAACAACUAGAAUAUAGUUAUAUUGUGCCAUUUGAGCUUCGCGUACCUUUUUCUGGAUUGUCCUGUCACUGGUAUCAACAUCAACAUAAUAACCAGCAUCAUGUAUCAGAGCCCGC
rnacentral:misc_RNA from 1 species